rnacentral:tRNA from 1 species
AAGGGCUUAGCUUAAUUAAAGUAAUUGAUUUGCGUUCAGUUGAUGUGGAAUAGAGCUCUGCAGUCCUUA